rnacentral:lncRNA from 1 species
CAAGAGUGUAUUGGUGAACAAUCGUUUUAGGUUCUAAUUAGCAAGGCAGUGAGGUGAUUGGCACCAAACCAAUUGAUUAUAUUUAAUCCAAUCACUUAGUGAAUUAAAACUUACUUUUAAUUCACCUUCUUCUUUGAUGACUACAUUUAAUCAUCUAGAAGAACUCACAAGCCAUGAGUGACAUCUAACCAUAUAUCAUGGCUACCCAAGCUAAUGUAGAAAUUGUUCGGAGAGCCUAUUCAGUUGGAAUUACAAUGCAAUUCGAUCCUUCUCUAAAACAAUACUUUCAAUCACAUCACUAGGGUAUGGAUAUAAUAUGUCAAACCCCUAAUGUGAUUAUUCCAUGUUAUAUGAUUCAAUUGAGUCGUAUAGGAACGCUUUCCUUUAUUACGCUCGAUACUUCGGCCAAAGAUUCCCGAAUCAUAUCUUAGAGUAUUCAUCCUCUCAUAACGAGGAUUAGAGAUUCCUUGUUGAACAU